AGAUUAAGAUAUUUCAAGACUAAGCUUCUAACUUAAGUCUUAAGCAGUGUAAUUCUGUUUUUAAUCUU
rnacentral:tRNA from 1 species